rnacentral:lncRNA from 12 species
AUGAAGCCAAGAGCCCGCUGGCAUUCCGGGGGGCUGCCGCCACCGCCACCGCCUGGGGGUGGGGUGGGGCGGGCGCUCACUCCCUGCGCCUCCUUCCGCGGUUGGGCUGAGGUCUCGCGCCGCUCUCCUUCCUCUUCCUCGCGGGCCUCCGGCAGGAGCUUCGCCCCCACGACCCUGCAGUCCUGGCGCCCCCUCCACGCGGGAGCCACAGCCAGACCGCUCCAUUCCCCCGCGACGCCGCCGGUACCGGGGAACUCGCUCCGCCGCGGACUCCGCCGUUCGGAGUGCUUUCAAGUUCUCGCCAUGGGGGGGAGGGGAGGUACUCGUGGCCUAGCGCUCGGCCAAUGCUCCGAGGGGCUGAGAGCAGGAGGACCGGCGGGGCGGGCCGCUGAUUGGCUACGGCAGGAGCCUGUCUGGGCCGUACCACUUACUUGGAGGGGGUCUGGAGAGGGAGGGAGGUGGCUCCUCGCUCGUGAGCAUGUCCAGCACACACAUAAGCCUGUUUUUACUUCCGAGCAUUCCUUCUUGGAUACCGUAAGGAUAGAAAACAGGACGCAGGGAAACGGAAGAGUCGCCCGGCCACUUCCCCAUUUCCGAGUCCUGCGCACUAGGCCAGGCCUCCUCUCCCAGGCGCCCGCGGACCCCGACGGCCGUGCGCGCGCGCGCUCGUUCUCUCGCGUGCGUACGGCGCUGCGCCCCUGCAGCCAAUCAGGCCGCGAGGUCGCCGCGGUCGCCGGGUCGCGCGCACGCCCUAGCGCGGAGUGGGGGUGGGGGCUGUGGGUGAAUGGGAGAGUGAGCGGGGGCGGGCGCGGCGGCGCGAGCCGCAUGAAUGAGAGAAACGUGCCCCGCGCGAGACGUCGCGCGCGUCCGGGACGGGGAGCCAAUGGGAGCGCUGGGAGGGCUCGAGACCCGGCGCUGAGGGCAACGGCCGCGCGCCGGCUCGAAGGCGAGCGUCGCCAGGCGGGAGCGCGCGUAGCAGGGCGGGCGUGGAGCGUGCGGGGGCCGCGCGCGGCCUCUCAGAGGCCGGACGGCACUGCCGGGAGGCGGCGGCGGCGGCGGCGACGGGAACCGCGCCGGGGGUGAAGCACUGUAACCCAGUUGAAUUCUGCAUCUAGAAAGCCCAAGACUGAAGAAGAAAGAUCAAAGACAUUGACUAACCUGGAAACAGGGACCUCUUUGGAACUUUGCUUUCAUCCACAGUACCCUUGUAGAACUAUCCUUGAGUGGAAUUGAUUUCUUCAUCUUAUUUUUGCGCAUUGGGAAGAACAUGGCUACGGGGAUUUUACGUUUCCCUUUAGUUUUGCAUGAACCCGAUUGGAAACGGAGCCCUUAAAGGGCUUGGGAAUAACAAGAAGAGAUUGAAGACAGGCUUGCUCCUAUUCUCUCUCUCUUUGUUUUCCCUCCCCUGCGGAAGAAAAGGAUUUAC